UUUUUUUUUCUCAGAUGCCAUCUUUCAGGAGAAAUUCAGCACAUCAAAUCUCAAAGAUUUUUCUCCUCAAGACCUUUCCAAAUGUAAUUUAGUUUUGUCUUUUGACAUUUGUUCUUUUGUUGUUAUCUUAGGCAUUAUCGUGAGGGGGGAAGCGGCCGCAGAUUAAGGACAGCGCGGGUUAAGAGCAUGGUCAUAGUCUAGGAGCACGCCCGGUGGUCGUUUUGGAAUUGGAGACAUCACCCUUCUUGUCCGCUGCCCAACUCCGUCGCGGCCCAGGCCUAGCAGGAGAUAGAGGCACCGCGAGGACUCACUGCAAAGAAGCCAUGGGAGGAGGACCCCGACUCGGAUGACGGCUGCUGAAAGAUCAUGCACUUCUUCGGCCCACACACCAGCUCCGCUUACGGCUUAUCCAAGGUUGGAGCUUCACCAGCGCCAUGGUUGUGCUCGGAGGAGGACCGCCGAUGCCCGCCGCCGCUGUCGUCCACAUGCUCCUCCUCACGACCACGGGUGGACAUUGGCUGAGGUCUAGCCUCCCAUCCACACGCAGAUUAUGCAAGUAUCUGCUUGGUCUGCAUAUUAGUACCGACUAGCGAGCACAGGAACGACGACUUGGAUC